GCAAGUCGAAUGGUCUAGCUUGCUAGACCAUGGCAAACGGGAGAGUAACGCAUUGGUAAUCUACCCUGAGGACGAGAAUAACCCAGAGAAAUUUGGGAUAAUACUCGAUGGUAGUGGGGGGUCAUAUGACAUUCCCACUUAAAGUUCCGGCGCCUCGGGAGGAGCCUAUGAACUAUCAGCUUGUUGGUGAGGUAAAAGCUCACCAAGGCUAUGACGGUUACCGGGUGUGAGAGCAUGGCC
rnacentral:rRNA from 1 species